rnacentral:tRNA from 1 species
CGGGACGUGGCUCAGCCUGGUAGAGCACUGGGUUCGGGACUCAGGGGUCGCAGGUUCAAAUCCUGCCGUCCCGA